GACGAACCACACAAACGUUAUUCGGAAGUACUGGGCUUAAAGGGUGCGUAGGCGGCGUGGAAAGUUGGGUGUGAAAUCCCUCAGCUUAACUGAGGAACAGCGCCCAAAACUACCAUGCUCGAGGGAGAUAGAGGAAUGCGGAACUUAGGGUGGAGCGGUGAAAUGCGUUGAUAUCCUAGGGAACACCGGUGGCGAAAGCGGCAUUCUGGAUCUCUUCUGACGCUGAGGCACGAAAGCCAGGGUAGCAAACGGG
rnacentral:rRNA from 1 species